CCUACGGGGUGCUGCAGUGGGGAAUAUUGGACAAUGGGCGAAAGCCUGAUCCAGCCAUGCCGCGUGUGUGAAGAAGGCCUUCGGGGUGUAAAGCACUUUCAGUGGGGAAGAAAGCCUUGGGGCUAAUACCCUCGAGGAAGGACAUCACCCACAGAAGAAGCACCGGCUAACUCCGUGCCAGCAGCCGCGGUAAUACGGAGGGUGCGAGCGUUAAUCGGAAUUACUGGGCGUAAAGCGCGCGUAGGCGGUCUGAUAAGCCGGUUGUGAAAGCCCCGGGCUCAACCUGGGAACGGCAUCCGGAACUGUCAGGCUAGAGUGCAGGAGAGGAAGGUAGAAUUCCCGGUGUAGCGGUGAAAUGCGUAGAGAUCGGGAGGAAUACCAGUGGCGAAGGCGGCCUUCUGGACUGACACUGACGCUGAGGUGCGAAAGCGUGGGUAGCAAACAGGAUUAGAUACCCUAGUAGUC
rnacentral:rRNA from 1 species